rfam:Triticum aestivum genome assembly, contig: Triticum_aestivum_CS42_TGACv1_scaffold_223121_3B
CAUGUACUCCCUCCGUCCGAAAUUACUUGUCGCAUAAAUGAAUGAAAAUGGGUGUAUCUAGAACUAAAAUACAUCUAGAUACAUUCACUUUUCCGACAAGUAUUUCCGCAUGGAGGGAGUACUAC